AGUUCGUGGCUCGUGCUCGGCGCAGUCAGCUGUUAGACCACGCCCCCCGCCACCACCGCCCCUCCUGGCCUAGCUAAUUAGCCAACUGGCAGAUCUCAAGAUGCAAGCGAAUGACCAGAUACAAGAGAGUAUAUAAUAUCCACAGAGAUUGCUAUAUGCAUAAACCGCUCGCACUUUUGCCCGAUUCUACCUCGUUGUUGGCACCUGCGAGAUGCGCCCACGUUGUGUUCCGAGCGUGUUUAUUCUGUAACUGGCGGCGCAUAAGCAGCCUAUCUGAUAUUUUUAUUGUUUCGCGCUCUUCGCACAUCAGAUUAUUCAAUUAUGUGGCGAGUGUGCUGAUAGAAUCGCGGAGCAACAACACUGGCCAACAAGGCUGUGCUUCCGUGAAUUUCCACGGCGCCGCAACGACAUUGAAUCAGUAAUUCAGCGCUGAUAAGAGCCAUUUCACAAGUGCUUUACGCAUUUCGAGGGCACCACUGACACAGUUUAUGAAUGAAUCAUGGAUACGAAUGGCAGAUGAAUGCGAAUAAAUGGGGGAAUAUCUUGGGGAGCCUACCCACUCUCGAUCGGCUGGCCAGACAGAGAGCAGACGGAGCAGGAGACCCAAGUACGUCACGGCACACGAGAUGGUUUGGCUUGGCAUGGGUUAGCUAGGUCAGUUUCACUUGCGCAAUUGAGCAAGAACUUUCCAUGGCUAUUUACAGUGCGGUACUACAGACCUACAAACGACCUUGGCAUUCCCAAACCUAAACGUCUGGCUAAUUGUGCCGAAAGCGCAGUUAUCACGCCGCCUGUAACUGAUACAAAGUAUCCAACGGAUUGUCCGGCGGAACGGAGCGGAACGCCUACCACGCACCCACGGCGUGCCGAACGCUCCGCCCCCGCCGGAAUAUUAUUGUUAUUUGUACAAAUGGCAUCAAGACGUCGUCGUCGGAGAAAUAUACCCAUGCUAUUAACUAUAUAGGUGCGUCUAAAAGCUCGUCGGCGUCGCCAGUCGUAUCUCUAUCUGCCGAUGUCGGCGACGACGCGUUGGCUAGCACGUGAACAUUAUCAGUGGACGCGGUGGAAGGCGGGAUGAUUUGACUUUGCCACGACCAGAACAGCAAAUCAACCAGAUUGGGUUGGACCGGCAACGGAACCGACUCCGAUGGAGGUGCCUGUGGCCACCGGCGUGCCCUCCGCUGAAGGUGCCACCGCCUGACCCGCAAAUGGAGCCAGCAUAAUCAGGAGAGAUGCGGAGCUGGUCGACUAAAAGGCCAUGGGACUGAUUUUUAAAUGAUUGGAUUGGAGUUUAAAUUUUGGAUGUACGAAAGGCACGGAAGGCCACGUAGUUAGCAUAAGCCUUCUGCCAAAAUGAGAAGUUUCUUUAUAAUCAGCAGCGCCUGACAGGCUAUGGUCCUACAUUUCGCAUUGGCAUUUGGCCUAACGCUCAAAAGUUGGACAUCGACUAAGCAAAUUUAGAUACUUUGUUUUUGAUUAACAAGUGUUUAACAUAUAAUACGGAUUUAAU